AGUCCAAAGUCUUUUGCAGCAAAAUGAGCAGUAGGACCCAAAUGCUUCAAGACUGGCUUACCACAUUUUGAAGUGCAGUAAUACACAUUAUCAUGUAAAGAAGGCUUAUGUGAUAUCAUUAAGUCCAAAGGAGAAGGGGUAUAAGAAAAUUAAUUACACCAAUACACCACUGGGCAUAGUUUCCUUUUCACAAACAAUAUAUGAGGUGCUAAACCUGUUCCUGAAGAUGGUUAAAUGCUUUGCUAUUUUAAAAAAAUGUGGUGUCCCCCGGGUGUUGCUGGAUAGCAGGUGUCAACAGUCCCAGCCAACAUAGCCAAAAGUCAGAAAUGAUGGGGAUUGUAGUUCAACAACCCCUGGAGGGCAAUGCAUUGGCUACCAUUUCCAUAAGAGUAUCAUUGUCCUCACAAACAGUGCCAAUAAAUAGUAAGUCUUCUUGAUACUGGAAAGCCACUGGAAGUAGUGAAGGCUCAUAAAUAGAAAUAAACCCGGUAAGCAAAUUUACAGCCAUCCUGGUCGGCAGUGCCUAUGAUCUACCACCAAUUCUACAUAUAUAGCCCAACUGGGUGAACAGUUCAAACUUACUUCAGCCGUGUUGAUGGUGAAUUACUGAUCCAGGCACAGCUCUUACUUGGAAGGAUGGAAAUAUGCAGCAGUGACUCAUACAGAGACGGGUGAUGAGACUCCUCUGAGGACAGAAAACUCUACAGCUUUCUACAUCAGAAAGUGACUAAUUGCACCCAGUGAAGAACAUUGCCACCCCAGUGGAAGUUGACUGGCAGGAAAUGUGGACAACAAGAUGAAUCACACAGAAGCAUAAUGACAAUAUCCACUUUGGGUAUGAACACAGGAAGCUGUCUUGUGUUGAGUCAGAUUAUCACUCCAUCUAGCUCAGUAUGGUCAACAGUGGGUAGCAAUGGAUUGCAAGGGUUUCAGACAAGGAUGUUUUAUCCACACUAGCUAGAAAUGUUGGGGCCUGCCCAUGAGUUUGGAGUUCGCAUCACCAUACAAUCCUUUCUUAACUUAAAUUCCUUCACCCCUAGCUAAUUAUGCUGAUAUAAGACCAGCCACUGCUUCUUGCCUGUUCUGCUGUAGCUCACUCCUGAUGUGGCUUAUGUUACUUCUCAUAAUUCCUUCAUUUGGCAUAAAUUAUUUUGGGGGCAUUGCUUGCCCAAUCACUUAUGUUUCCUUGCCCCCCUCCCAAACUCAACUCUCCCUAGACCAACU